CUGGCGGCGCGCUUAAACAUGCAAGUCGCACGAGAAAGGGAGCAAUCCUGAGUAAAGUGGCGUACGGGUGAGUAACACGUGGAUCAUCUACCUUCUGGUGGGGAAUACCCCCGGGAAACUGGGGACAAUUCCGCAUAAGCUCGUAAGAGGAAAGCAGCAAUGCGCCGGAAGAGGAGUCCGCGGCUGAUUAGCUUGUUGGCGGGGUAAUGGCCCACCAAGGCGAAGAUCGGUAGCCGGCCUGAGAGGGCACACGGCCACACUGGCACUGAAACACGGGCCAGACUCCUACGGGAGGCAGCAGUGGGGAAUCUUGCACAAUGGGGGAAACCCUGAUGCAGCGACGCCGCGUGAGCGAUGAAGCCCUUCGGGGUGUAAAGCUCUUUCGACGGGAACGAUAAUGACGGUACCCGAAGAAGAAGCUGCGGCUAACUACGUGCCAGCAGCCGCGGUAAUACGUAGGCAGCAAGCGUUGUUCGGAAUUACUGGGCGUAAAGAGUGUGUAGGCGGUGCUCUAAGUUCGGUGUGAAAUCUCCCGGCUCAACUGGGAGGGUGCGCCGGAAACUGGAGUGCUCGAGGUUGGGAGAGGAAAGCGGAAUUCCCGGUGUAGCGGUGAAAUGC
rnacentral:rRNA from 1 species